CAAGACUGAAGACGUGUAUUUGUUUAUGUAUUUGUUUUUGUUUCAACAUUGGUUUUUCUUGGCGGGUUUUUUAAGUGUUUAUUUUCAAAUCGAAAAAUGGACAAAAUAAACGAAAUGAAUUCCAAGGAUGAGAAAAAAAGUCGUCAACGGGGAGAAAAUUGGACGCAAGAAGAAAAGGACCUGCUCCUUAAAAUAAUGCGAAAAUCGGUGCCUAUAAUUGAGAAUAAACAUACAGAUACAAAUACUAACAAACGAAAGUAUUUGGAAUGGGUAAAAAUACGAAAUAGAUUGAGAGAACUCACGGGUAAAUACAGAGACAUAGCUCAAUUAAAGGGUUUUUGGAGGAGACUGAAAAUAACAGCGAAGAAAAAUGUCUCUGAACAUAAAACGGAUGUGAAAAUAACUGCUGGAGGUCAUCAUUCACCUUCUCCAUCUGAAGAUGAUAGAUUAAUUGUGGAACUCUGCCCAACAGAUUUUUUAAUUGACUUAAAUCAGUCCAAAAGUGAUAAAAAUGUUGUAAAUGAAAAAAAUAAUGAACCGGGUAUAGAAAAUAAAGAUAAUAAUACAACACAAGACAUUGAAUCAAAUGAGGUUCAUAAAGACACACAAAGUAUUAGAGAUACUGAAAACAUAAUUAUGGAAGAGUCUAGUCUUAAACUAAGACAUAAGUCAAAACAGUUACCUGGAAUCAAAAGGAAGAAAAAAAACAGCCACAUGGGGAUGAUAGUUGCGAGUAACAUUGAUCUUAAAACUCGCAGUAGAGAGAUGAUGGAAGAGGAACAUGCUUUGAAAAUAAAAUACAGGAUGUUAGAAUUAAGUCACCAGGAGUCAAAACAUAAAUUGGAAAUAGAUAAUUUACUUCUAGAAAAAGAAAAGAAGGAAUUAGAAAUAAAAAUUCUUAAAAAAUCAUUACAAUAGUAGUAGUCAUGUAAUUAGGUUCAUAAGCAGAUGAAAUUUUUAAUCUAAUAUAUAAAAUUCUCGUGUCACAGUGUGCAGGACCAAACUUCUCCGAAACGGCUUGACCGAUUCUCAUGAAAUUUUGAGUGCAUAUUGGGUAGGUCUGAGAAUCGGACAACAUCUAUUUUUCAUCCCCCUAAAUGUUAAGAUUGGUCCACACGAAUUUUUUUUUUUAAUUUUUUGACAUUUUUUUUUUUAAAUUUGUUUGUUUAUGAGUCGGCAUUAAAAAAUACAUACAACUUCAAAUUUUCACCCAUCUACGAUAAACAGUUACUUUUGUAUCGCGAUUUUAAUAUCGGCAAUACAACGUUUGCUGGGUCAGCUAGACUAUAAUUAUGUACUAGUAAGGACUGAAAGGACUGGACAGUCUCCCUGAAAACGAAACUUGGAAAGGUCUUGAAAUGUUGGGUUAACUAACAUAAUAAUAAAAAUGUAACUUUUACACAAAAAUCUAAUGUAAAAACACAGUUACAAUUACACUCUUUUUAAUACUUUAAAA